ensembl:lncRNA novel transcript
ACACUUGUUUGUGUUUUGGGGAGAGAAAGGAAGUGGAGAACGUUCUUGCAAGAUGAUCUGUAUUUUCUCUCUAAAGCAGAGUUCAUUUGCUGAGAAUGAUGGAGAAAAUCAGCAUCUAGCUAAUCAGCUGACCAUGAGAUGCAGAGAUUAUCUGGAAUUAUCCAGAUUGGUCCAUUUAAUUACAUGAGUCCUUAAAAGUGGAAAGUGGAAGAAGAGGCAGAAGAGUGUGUCAGAGAGAUGCUGUGUGAAAAGGACUCAACCUGCCACUUGAGGCUUUGAGGCUGGAGAAAGGGGCCAUGAACCAAGGAUUGUGAGCAGCCUGUAAAAUCUGGAAAAGACAAGGCAAUACCCUUUGCUGUCUCAGGGUCAAACAUGCAACUCCUGCCUGCUUGUAUGGCCAGCUGGGUUCAAGAAGGAAGGAACCUCAUUGUUGACAGUUACCAGAUGAAUGUGCCCCUUCUGUACAGCUAAGAAAUGGAAUAGACAUUGGUAACCUUCCACAGGCCCACACAUGUGUUAUCAGCCAUACCUUAGGACAGAAGGAAUGAGUUUGCAGAAAGGAUGCUCUUCAGAACUCAUGAAGACAUAAGGUGCUUCAAAAGAGGAGACUUUCGGAACAUGAGCAGGGAAAUUGUCACUUGAUAGAUGACAAGCAUUGUGAGAAACAACAGUUUGCCUUUCUUCAUUCCCUUCCUGGUUAUCUUUCCUGUCACAUGAAGAAGAAAUGAAACACCAGAGAGAAUCAGGUUAUCAUCAUCUACACCAGCCACUGUCACUGGCCUUCAAAGUUCAACCUCCCUGGAACUCCAGAACUCCCCACUUUAUAAGAUGAAUGGCUAAUUGGAUCCUAGUACAUAAGGAAACACUGGCAAAAUAGCGGUAUAUAACAAAUGUUUCUUUUUAUGAUAGAUCUACAUCUGAAACAACGGUGAAAAAGCAUGCAUUAAAUUAAAAAGCAUAGUCUUCCAUUUGUAAGUAAUUUUGUUAUGUGCUGCUUAUGGGAGAUUGUUUAGUUAAAGCUAUAUUACUGCAAAAGAGAGGCAAACAGAGACAGCACAGCACAUUAGUAAAACACUAAAGCUUUUAAUUUCCUCAUUCAUUCAUUAAAGAAAUAUUUUCUUAGAGAUUAUGUUUGGCAAUAUGACACAUUUUUGUAGAAAAAUGCAAUGAGACAAUAAUAAAAGUUGUCUUAUAGAAACAACUUCUGCGAUUAAGAAACUUAUAAAAUUUAAGACACAAGGUAAGGUGCU